CCAUAAAUAAAUAAUACCCUAUUAUAACAUUUGAAAUUUCGAUGAAUAGAACAAGUAAAAAGAGAUCCUUCCUACUUAUUAAAUGAAAUCAAGAAGAGGUAUCUAAAUUUACCAUAAUUAACGUGUGAGGGGAUGUCUGUCAACCAAGUAAGGCAAGAAAA